GGAUAGCAGAAAUUGCCACUGAUGGAGUUCACUUGGUGGCCAUACCAAUGGAUAUAUGCAUGUGCUUGCUGGUCCUGAAAGCAUGCUGGGGACUUCAACUGAUUUGAAGAUCAUAUCCAUUGAAGGUGGUCAGUGUUUGCUGAGGUGAUUCAGACUCCUGGUCGAACAAAAGAGAACACUAAUUCCAUUGGAAACAAAUCUAUCCACAACAAAUAUCUUCCAAGCUGUGACUUGAGACAACAGCUGUAUUUGUUCAAAUGACCAUGAACCAUAUUAUUGUGUUGUUCAAAGCUGUGAAAGACGAUAUUGUAUAUGCUAAAGCACCACCAAAGUGGACAUCACUUGGCUGGAAGAUCACAACAGAAGAAAUGCCAUUGGGUCAUCAAGGCAGCGAAAAGUCCAUGGAGCAGAAAAGAUGGAGAAAGAACAUCUUUUAGGAUCAAAGGAGAAGCAAGCUGUAGAAGCAUAUGGUUGUACGGAUUGGGCUCUACUAGGUGGGAUGAUUUUAAGCUCCCCAACAAUUGGAGCUUUACUGUUGCUUCUGGGUUUGUGGAUGCUGUCAUCAAAAUGGAGAGCAUGUUGAGUGUAUUGUAACAUCAUUAAUCUGAGGCAUUUUUUUGACUGGGAUUACAGUAUUACACUGAUAUAAAGCUGCAAUUUUGGACUUAAUAUUGUAAUAGUUGCCAUGUGUAAAUUUGCUUCUAUUUGAUUCUGAUCUAAAUGCAUAUUGAUGCUCU